rnacentral:rRNA from 1 species
CAAGUCCCUGAAGGCUCCAAGUAGACCACUUGGUCGAUAGGUCGGGUGUGGAAGCGUAGCGAUACGUUCAGCUAACCGAUACUAAUCAGCCGUGAGGCUUGACCAUUUA